UACAGAGGGCCCAAGCGUUGAUCGGAUUCAUUGGGCGUAAAGGGUGCGUAGGCGGCGCGGUAAGUCGGGUGUGAAAUCUCGGAGCUUAACUCCGAAACUGCAUUCGAUACUGCCGUGCUUGAGGACUGGAGAGGAGACUGGAAUUUACGGUGUAGCGGUGAAAUGCGUAGAUAUCGUAAGGAAGACCAGUGGCGAAGGCGGGUCUCUGGACAGUUCCUGACGCUGAGGCACGAAGGCCAGGGGAGCAAACGGG
rnacentral:rRNA from 1 species